rnacentral:tRNA from 1 species
GGAGAGAUGCAGGAGUGGCUGAUCUGGCUACCCUGGAAAGGUAGUGUACUCGUAAGGGUACCGUGGGUUCGAAUCCCACUCUCUCCGCCA